UACGAAGGGUGCAAACGUUGCUCGGAAUUAUUGGGCGUAAAGCGCACGUAGGCGGCUUGGCAAGUCGGAUGUGAAAUCCCUUGGCUUAACCGAGGAAGUGCAUCCGAAACUGGCGAGCUAGAGUACUAAAGAGGAUCGCGGAAUUCCCGGUGUAGAGGUGAAAUUCGUAGAUAUCGGGAGGAACACCGGUGGCGAAGGCGGCGAUCUGGGUAGAUACUGACGCUGAGGUGCGAAAGCGUGGGGAGCAAACAGG
rnacentral:rRNA from 1 species